rnacentral:rRNA from 1 species
CGCGGGAAAUCUUACCGGGUCCGGACACACUGAGGAUUGACAGAUAUAUACCCCGUGAUUUUAUCGCGGGGUUGAAAGAUGCUAGUUCUUUCAUGAUUAUGUGAUAGGUGGUGCAUGGCCGUUCUUAGUUCGUGGAGUGAUCUGUCUGCUUAAUUGCGUAUCAAUAAUAGAGACCUAGUAUACGCGUAGACUCAUGCGGUAGUGACCCCCCUUCACAGGGCGCGUGUCGCACGUAUGUUAUACGCACAGGUCUCCGAUAGCAACGAACGUGACCGUACUCUAUUGUUGCAGCGACAAUACCUUUCAACGGGUAUUACCGCUGCUUAGCAAGAUUCGUCUUGCAUUAAACUAUAGAGACCGCUGUUUCUUCUUUAAACCAGAGGAAGGAUACGGCAAUAACAGGUCUGUGAUG